rnacentral:rRNA from 1 species
CGGUGAAUACGUUCCCGGGCCUUGUACACACCGCCCGUCAAGCCAUGGAAGUUGGGGGUACCUGAAGCACGUAACCGCAAGGAGCGUCCUAGGGUAAAACCGAUAACUGGGGCU